rnacentral:rRNA from 1 species
UGUGAGCUCGAUGAGUAGGGCGGGACACGUGGUAUCCUGUCUGAAUAUGGGGGGACCAUCCUCCAAGGCUAAAUACUCCUGACUGACCGAUAGUGAACCAGUACCGUGAGGGAAAGGCGAAAAGAACCCCGGCGAGGGGAGUGAAAAAGAACCUGAAACCGUGUACGUACAAGCAGUGGGAGCACGCUUAGGCGUGUGACUGCGUACCUUUUGUAUAAUGGGUCAGCGACUUAUAUUCUGUAGCAAGGUUAACCGAAUAGGGGAGCCGAAGGGAAACCGAGUCUUAACUGGGCGUUAAGUUGCAGGGUAUAGACCCGAAACCCGGUGAUCUAGCCAUGGGCAGGUUGAAGGUUGGGUAACACUAACUGGAGGACCGAACCGACUAAUGUUGAAAAAUUAGCGGAUGACUUGUGGCUGGGGGUGAAAGGCCAAUCAAACCGGGAGAUAGCUGGUUCUCCCCGAAAGCUAUUUAGGUAGCGCCUCGUGAAUUCAUCUCCGGGGGUAGAGCACUGUUUCGGCAAGGGGGUCAUCCCGACUUACCAACCCGAUGCAAACUGCGAAUACCGGAGAAUGUUAUCACGGGAGACACACGGCGGGUGCUAACGUCCGUCGUGAAGAGGGAAACAACCCAGACCGCCAGCUAAGGUCCCAAAGUCAUGGUUAAGUGGGAAACGAUGUGGGAAGGCCCAGACAGCCAGGAUGUUGGCUUAGAAGCAGCCAUCAUUUAAAGAAAGCGUAAUAGCUCACUGGUCGAGUCGGCCUGCGCGGAAGAUGUAACGGGGCUAAACCAUGCACCGAAGCUGCGGCAGCGACGCUUAUGCGUUGUUGGGUAGGGGAGCGUUCUGUAAGCCUGUGAAGGUGUACUGUGAGGUAUGCUGGAGGUAUCAGAAGUGCGAAUGCUGACAUAAGUAACGAUAAAGCGGGUGAAAAGCCCGCUCGCCGGAAGACCAAGGGUUCCUGUCCAACGUUAAUCGGGGCAGGGUGAGUCGACCCCUAAGGCGAGGCCGAAAGGCGUAGUCGAUGGGAAACAGGUUAAUAUUCCUGUACUUGGUGUUACUGCGAAGGGGGGACGGAGAAGGCUAUGUUGGCCGGGCGACGGUUGUCCCGGUUUAAGCGUGUAGGCUGGUUUUCCAGGCAAAUCCGGAAAACUAAGGCUGAGGCGUGAUGACGAGGCACUACGGUGCUGAAGCAACAAAUGCCCUGCUUCCAGGAAAAGCCUCUAAGCAUCAGGUAACAUCAAAUCGUACCCCAAACCGACACAGGUGGUCAGGUAGAGAAUACCAAGGCGCUUGAGAGAACUCGGGUGAAGGAACUAGGCAAAAUGGUGCCGUAACUUCGGGAGAAGGCACGCUGAUAUGUAGGUGAAGUCCCUCGCGGAUGGAGCUGAAAUCAGUCGAAGAUACCAGCUGGCUGCAACUGUUUAUUAAAAACACAGCACUGUGCAAACACGAAAGUGGACGUAUACGGUGUGACGCCUGCCCGGUGCCGGAAGGUUAAUUGAUGGGGUCAGCGCAAGCGAAGCUCUUGAUCGAAGCCCCGGUAAACGGCGGCCGUAACUAUAACGGUCCUAAGGUAGCGAAAUUCCUUGUCGGGUAAGUUCCGACCUGCACGAAUGGCGUAAUGAUGGCCAGGCUGUCUCCACCCGAGACUCAGUGAAAUUGAACUCGCUGUGAAGAUGCAGUGUACCCGCGGCAAGACGGAAAGACCCCGUGAACCUUUACUAUAGCUUGACACUGAACAUUGAGCCUUGAUGUGUAGGAUAGGUGGGAGGCUUGGAAGUGUGGACGCCAGUCUGCAUGGAGCCGACCUUGAAAUACCACCCUUUAAUGUUUGAUGUUCUAACGUUGACCCGUAAUCCGGGUUGCGGACAGUGUCUGGUGGGUAGUUUGACUGGGGCGGUCUCCUCCUAAAGAGUAACGGAGGAGCACGAAGGUUGGCUAAUCCUGGUCGGACAUCAGGAGGUUAGUGCAAUGGCAUAAGCCAGCUUGACUGCGAGCGUGACGGCGCGAGCAGGUGCGAAAGCAGGUCAUAGUGAUCCGGUGGUUCUGAAUGGAAGGGCCAUCGCUCAACGGAUAAAAGGUACUCCGGGGAUAACAGGCUGAUACCGCCCAAGAGUUCAUAUCGACGGCGGUGUUUGGCACCUCGAUGUCGGCUCAUCACAUCCUGGGGCUGAAGUAGGUCCCAAGGGUAUGGCUGUUCGCCAUUUAAAGUGGUACGCGAGCUGGGUUUAGAACGUCGUGAGACAGUUCGGUCCCUAUCUGCCGUGGGCGCUGGAGAACUGAGGGGGGCUGCUCCUAGUACGAGAGGACCGGAGUGGACGCAUCACUGGUGUUCGGGUUGUCAUGCCAAUGGCACUGCCCGGUAGCUAAAUGCGGAAGAGAUAAGUGCUGAAAGCAUCUAAGCACGAAACUUGCCCCGAGAUGAGUUCUCCCUGACUCCUUGA